CAGAAGAUUAUAAGUUAGUGCACAGCGCAUCACUUUCAUCAAUAAUCGGAACCAUUCCUGAUCGGGUAUGGUGUAGCGGUAACAUCGUUGAC